rnacentral:rRNA from 1 species
CCUACGGGAGGCAGCAGUAGGGAAUAUUGCUCAAUGGGGGAAACCCUGAAGCAGCAACGCCGCGUGGAGGAUGAAGGUUUUCGGAGUGUAAACUCCUUUUGUUAGAGAAGAUAAUGACGGUAUCUAACGAAUAAGCACCGGCUAACUCCGUGCCAGCAGCCGCGGUAAUACGGAGGGUGCAAGCGUUACCCGGAAUCACUGGGCGUAAAGAGCGCGUAGGCGGGGUAGCAAGUCAGAUGUGAAAUCCUAUGGCUUAACCAUAGAACUGCAUUUGAAACUGUUAUGCUAGAGUAUGGGAGGGGUAGGUGGAAUUCUUGGUGUAGGGGUAAAAUCCGUAGAGAUCAAGAGGAAUACUCAUUGCGAAGGCGACCUGCUAGAACGUAACUGACGCUGAUGCGCGAAAGCGUGGGGAGCAAACAGGAUUAGAUACCCUUGUAGUC